CCUACGGGAGGCAGCAGUGGGGAAUAUUGGACAAUGGGGGGAACCCUGAUCCAGCGACGCCGCGUGAGUGAAGAAGUAUUUCGGUAUGUAAAGCUCUAUCAGCAGGGAAGAAAGAAAUGACGGUACCUGACUAAGAAGCCCCGGCUAACUACGUGCCAGCAGCCGCGGUAAUACGGAGGGGGCAAGCGUUAUCCGGAUUUACUGGGUGUAAAGGGAGCGUAGACGGCGAUGCAAGUCUGAAGUGAAAGGCUGGGGACCAACCCCCGGACUGCUUUGGAAACUGUAAGGCUGGAGUUCAGGGGAGGUAAGUGGAAUUCGUAGUGUAGCGGUGAAAUGCGUAGAUAUUAGGAAGAACCCCAGUGGCGAAGGCGGCUUACUGGACUGUAACUGACGUUGAGGCUCGAAAGCGUGGGGAGCAAACAGGAUUAGAUACCCGUGUAGUC
rnacentral:rRNA from 1 species